AUGGCCGGAAAGGUUGCUGCAGUUCGGUGGUGUGCACAGUGGAAGUUUCAUCGGAAAGAGGUGUGCGGUGGUCUCGCGCUAAGGAAAGGGCGGACGCGGUGGGUUUCGCCGCGGAAGAGGAAAUCCGGAAGUCCGAGACGGCGCGACGGCCGAUCGGAGAUUCCGCGCGAGGGAGUGGUGUGGUUUGGGAACCAACGACGGCGACGGCGGAAGCCGUGCAGUGGUGGUAUUGAAGACGAGGGUGUUGGUUUGUUAUGGUUUAUAGAACUUUUUACAACAUUGUUUCAAUCUGGUGCUUACACAGUGUGGUUAUGGUGA